rnacentral:misc_RNA from 1 species
AAUGCGUUUUAUGCACUCUGUGGUCAAACGUCAAAUAGCGUAGUCAUCGGUAUUUCUUGAGGGUUUUUUCUAUUUUUCCCAGUGAUAACAAAAUGCUUAGUGCUUAUAGUCUCUAUGUUUGUAACCAAUAGAACUCCUCGUAAUUAACGGCGAUGGCUAUAUUUGAGAAAACAUCGCAAACAACUCUCGUUUUGGAUGAUACAGAAAAACUUAUUUGUACAGUGGUUAAUGCACAAAACAUCAAUAAACACACAGAAUACAUAUUGCGAGUGCAGAGAGGGCCUAAUAAGGAGAACAAGUGGAAUGUAUCGAGGCGGUACCGGGACUUCGCCGCGCUGCACUCGAGCCUGCAUCAGGCGAACAUCGAGCUGCCACUGCCCCCUAAGAAACUCAUUGGGAACAUGCAACCAUCUUUUAUUGCUGAAAGGCAAAUAGCUCUACAGAAUUAUAUCAAUGAGGUACUAAACCAUCAGGCGCUUGCUCUGUCAUUACAAGUCAGAAGCUUUCUGGAUCCCAUCAACUAUUCGCUUAGUAUAGCAGAACAAGCUCUGCAGACUGUGUCUAUUGCACUGAGAGGUGAAGGGAGGUUUGAACUGAAAGGACCCCUCGCAGACAUUGGUUGGAGAAUACGAAAACAUUACUUUCUGGUAACUGACAUCCAAAGUCGAAUAAACUGUAUGUUGUCAUAUCAGAACUAUGGACCUGACAGACAUUUAAGUGAUAAAGAUUUACAGACUGCAUUCAAGAGUAUACAUAAUUUAUCUCAUCCAUACAUAGACCAAAUAUUAGCAAUACACAGUUUAGAAACAGGCGCUUACGUAGUGAGAAGGAUACAUGAGAAUGGAACAAUCAGGGACAUGUUAUAUGGGACGGAAUAUACCAAAAACCACCUAGCCAAGUACGGGAACCCUAAAGUGAGGAAACCAUUCACAACGGGGCAAUUAGCUCAUUAUGGAUACCAGAUUCUGGAAGCUUUGAAGUUUCUGCAUGACAAAGGAAUACCACAUGGUCACAUUCACCCGGGUAACGUAGCAAUAGAAGGCCAGAAGGUACAGUUGCUGGAUGUGGAGAACUUCCUGAUGGGAGUGCCGUCGGUGUACCGGCAGCACCUCCUCGAGCUGCGGAAGACCACGGCGGCAGAGGCCGUGGACGUGUACUGCUUCGGACGGACGAUCUAUGAGAUGACCUUCGGCGCUCCCCUCGACCAUAUCAGUCGGGAUAUCUACCCUGAAGGACUUAAUGAGGGAUUAGAAGCAAUUCUCCGACUGUGUCUAUCAUCGUCGGCGUGUAAGCACGGCGUGGCGUCGUUAGACUCGCUACUCUACCACCCGUUCUUCACGAGGAGUGUGCUCAGUAUCGGAGGCACAAUGAGAGAGGACCACUUCACGCACCUUAAGUUCCCUCUCAACUGGAAGGAGGAACUCCGCGCCGCGGUCACGGCUUACGAGACACGGUUGAAGAACGAACAGAAACUGGUGCGAAGUACAAAGAGGGAGGUGCGUAUACAGGAAAUACUCAGCUCUGAAGAGGAGUUACGGAAGCAGAAACGAAGAGCGAAAAAGCGGGAGAGCGUGUGGAAGUCGACCUCGUCCCUGGGCGACGCAGCGCCGUCACACAGCGCCAGCACUGCGUCCUCGCCCACGCCGCCUGUUGCUCUGACAUGUAUUUCGGCAGCGGAAACCAACGGCAACGGGUCGGCAACCCCGGCGGCGGCGAGCCCCGACGCGCGGUCGGCGCUGCUGGGCGCCAUCUGCUCCUUCGACAAGACCCGCCUCGCGCGCACCGACUCCCGGUACAACGAACACCUCUAGCUAAUACCAUCCACUAGUUGCAUAUGUAGCGCGCGACGCGAUAGAUGUCUCAAUAGAAUGUGUUUAUUUAUAGCUUAACAUAACAUAAACAGCCUUUAUACGUCCCACUGCUGGGCACAGGCCUCCCCUCAAUCAACCGGAGGGGGUAUGGAGCAUACUCCACCAAGCUGCUCCAAUGCGGGUUGGUGGAGGUGUUUUUACGGCUAAUAGCCGGGGCCAACGGCUUAACGUGCCCUCCGAAGCACGGAAUCAUCUUACUUUUUCGGACAAUCAGGUGAUUCAAGCCUGAA